rnacentral:SRP_RNA from 1 species
CCUGCUGCUCGUGCAGGACACGGCGGCGGCAGCGGAGAAGGGAUCAGGCCCCGGCCCAGGCUGGCAGCAGCGUGAGCGCCGGCGGCAGCUGCAGAAGCGACAGCGCA